GAUGAACGCUGGCGGCGUGCCUAAUACAUGCAAGUCGAGCGAACAGACGAGGAGCUUGCUCCUCUGACGUUAGCGGCGGACGGGUGAGUAACACGUGGAUAACCUACCUAUAAGACUGGGAUAACUUCGGGAAACCGGAGCUAAUACCGGAUAAUAUAUUGAACCGCAUGGUUCAAUAGUGAAAGACGGUUUUGCUGUCACUUAUAGAUGGAUCCGCGCCGCAUUAGCUAGUUGGUAAGGUAACGGCUUACCAAGGCAACGAUGCGUAGCCGACCUGAGAGGGUGAUCGGCCACACUGGAACUGAGACACGGUCCAGACUCCUACGGGAGGCAGCAGUAGGGAAUCUUCCGCAAAGGGCGAAAGCCUGACGGAGCAACGCCGCGUGAGAGAUGAAGGUCUUCGGAUCGUAAAACUCUGUUAUUAGGGAAGAACAAAUGUGUAAGUAACUAUGCACGUCUUGACGGUACCUAAUCAGAAAGCCACGGCUAACUACGUG
rnacentral:rRNA from 1 species